rnacentral:rRNA from 1 species
GCAAGUCGAGCGGACCGACGGGAGCUUGCUCCCUUAGGUCAGCGGCGGACGGGUGAGUAACACGUGGGUAACCUGCCUGUAAGACUGGGAUAACUCCGGGAAACCGGGGCUAAUACCGGAUGCUUGAUUGAACCGCAUGGUUCAAUCAUGAAAGGCGGCUUCGGCUGCCGUUUACAGAUGGACCCGCGGCGCAUUAGCUAGUUGGUGAGGUAACGGCUCACCAAGGCGACGAUGCGUAGCCGACCUGAGAGGGUGAUCGGCCACACUGGGACUGAGACACGGCCCAGACUCCUACGGGAGGCAGCAGUAGGGAAUCUUCCGCAAUGGACGAAAGUCUGACGGAGCAACGCCGCGUGAGUGAUGAAGGUUUUCGGAUCGUAAAGCUCUGUUGUUAGGGAAGAACAAGUACCGUUCGAAUAGGGCGGUACCUUGACGGUACCUAACCAGAAAGCCACGGCUAACUACGUGCCAGCAGCCGCGGUAAUACGUAGGUGGCAAGCGUUGUCCGGAAUUAUUGGGCGUAAAGCGCGCGCAGGCGGUUUCUUAAGUCUGAUGUGAAAGCCCCCGGCUCAACCGGGGGAGGGUCAUUGGAAA